CGCACUGACUGCGGCGACGGUUCCGUGCGGGCGAAAGCGCGCGCGGCGAAGAGGGAAGCCGGUGCAAUGCCGGCGCUGUGCCCGCAACUGUAAGUGGGGAGCCCCGGGCCACCACGUCACUGGCGCUUCGCGAUUUGCGCGAAUGCCGCCGGGAAGACGGCCCAGGGCGUCGAUCCGCAAGCCAGGAGACCUGCCGUCGCGUCGUUCGUCCG
rnacentral:ncRNA from 2 species